UGGGGAAUAUUGGACAAUGGGCGAAAGCCUGAUCCAGCCAUGCCGCGUGUGUGAAGAAGGUCUUCGGAUUGUAAAGCACUUUAAGUUGGGAGGAAGGGCAGUAAAUUAAUACUUUGCUGUUUUGACGUUACCGACAGAAUAAGCACCGGCUAACUCUGUGCCAGCAGCCGCGGUAAUACAGAGGGUGCAAGCGUUAAUCGGAAUUACUGGGCGUAAAGCGCGCGUAGGUGGUUUGUUAAGUUGGAUGUGAAAUCCCCGGGCUCAACCUGGGAACUGCAUUCAAAACUGACAAGCUAGAGUAUGGUAGAGGGUGGUGGAAUUUCCUGUGUAGCGGUGAAAUGCGUAGAUAUAGGAAGGAACACCAGUGGCGAAGGCGACCACCUGGACUGAUACUGACACUGAGGUGCGAAAGCGUGGGGAGCAAACAGGAUUAGAUACCCCUGUAGUCCCUGAGCGGGCUGGCAAGGCGCAU
rnacentral:rRNA from 1 species